GAGGAGGAGAGGAAAUGAUGCUAAUGUUGAUAUUGAUGAGGGUAGUUGUCAUAAAUAAUUCAGUAGUUUUUCUCGAGCUCACACAGUCGCUCUCUGAAAAGAUCCGCUACCACCACAGUUCCUGGUGGUACUGCUCCAAAUUGUCCAUCUGGGU